AAUAAUAAAUAGUAAGUUAAUAUUUGAAAUGUGUGAAUUUAUAUACUUUAUAUAUUUAUUAUAUGGUCAAUAUAUCAAUAAAUUCAGCUUGGUCUUGUGGUGUAUGUGUUGAUUGUGUAUGCAUAGCUUGAUGGAUGCGCCUUCGAACCUUCAAGUGGGCUAACUUUUACAUAUUUUCUUAAAAAUGUAUUUUUUUGGAGGUUUCAAGAAAUAAAAAAUAAAAAGGAGGACUGGUAGGAAAAGGGGGGGAGCGUUUUUGAGAGGGAAGAGAGAAGACCAGAGAGAGAGAAACUCACCCAUCUUCAUUCUUCUUCUCCUUCAAUUAUUUUUCUUUGUUCCUUCUUUAGAAUCAAAAGUUCUUUUGACCCAAUUGUUUUUCUUCUUCAAAUUUGGGUUUUUUCCUCUUUCUCGGACCAAACCCUAGAACAGUGAGCAAUGAAGAUUGAAGGCUUAGUUUUUUUUUUAUUUUUUUUGUGCGAGGGAGAGCACCAAAUGUUGAAUCCGAGUAAGAUCGGUGGUUAGUGUGAGGCACUAAGAGAAUCAGUUUGCGAGUCAAAGAGAGAACACAAGACUGGGAGAGCAAGAUACAUAAUGUUCGAACCAAGGGUUACCGUAAAGAGGAGGAACAGUGUAUGUAAUUAUACAAUGAUUGUAUAACAUAUGUUAUAUGGAAGCUCAAAUAGGAACACAGACAUUGCAGGAAUUAUAAGGUUGACGAGAGAGGGAUUGGAGGAUAUAGGAGUUCAUUUAAAGUUUAUCCAAUUUAUGUAAAGGAACGUAUUAAACUUUUUACGUUGGUGAUGAAUUUGGAUAAUUUAUAUAUUGAAAUUGUAAAAGUUUUAUUUCUUUGGAAAAUUUAUAAGAGACAUGUAUAUUUAAUGUAUGAAUUGGAAUCGUCUUGUA